UUCAAGCCAGGCAUGAAGCGUCGCACAGCAGCACACGCACUAACGUACAGGCAGUUUCUUGCGUUUUACUCCCGAUUUGAUUACCGGUGAUUUAAGCCACCAUUUGACGCACCGUUUCUUCCUACUUAAGCUCCACAUCUUCCUCUUCGUUUCCCCUCAAACGGCACCUCCCGAGAGCCCCCAGGCUGCUCGAAUUUUCGCUCGCAUGUCCGCAGUACCGUCGCGGUAAAUCGUCGAUUGCGCGACGGCGCCAUCUUCAUCUGUGAACACGUCCGCGGGACAGUAUACCGGCGAGCGACUGCGCACCAGUGAGAAAGCCCGUACGUUAAACUCGUCGUCGAUUUCAGCUCGUACACCACUUCGCGGACGCCAAGAACCGCUGCAACGCGACUCCAUCCACGAACAAGUGCAACGCCAGCAUCAACGAAGUUCUUUUUCCUAUUGUGGUUAUGCUGAUUGCAACGAAUGUUUCUGCGAAGAGUGUACAAACUCGUCCUCUCACCAAGGCAAGUGACACACACCAAAUGUCCCAGUUUUAAUUCUUGCACCGUAGUGUUUUUAUAGUAGACAUGUCUAGGGUUUAUGCUUUAUGCCUGCUAAUAAAUCCUAGUAGUUUAGCUACACCACUCCUAGACUCCUUUAGCCGCCAUUAAAUUUAGUUGUUACCUGCUAUGCCAUGGAAAAUGUUUUGAUAGAGGUUAAGGAAAAACAACUAAAGUUUAAUGAAUUACCUGGGUGAAUGGUGGAGUUAUGGAGAGGGUGGCUGUAUCAGGGGGCAAGACCCUGGUGCUAGUGCACACUUGCGGAAAGUCACCCAGGCUUAAAGAGAUUGUAGACAAACCUUGCUCAUUAGCUUCACGUACAACCACAUGCUACUAUGACUCUGGCUUGACAAAGUAUGUUGUAUGAACCCGGAUCCUAGGGGCCAGGUGGUGGUAGAGGGAUACUGUAGGUGUAACGUGGCCCUUAGGGAAUGGUUCGGGUGAUUGCACACAGAAGGUCUCGGCCACGGUCUGCACCUGUCCUUUGAGCAAAAUGUGCAUCGAGGUAGAAGGAUUGACCUGGCCAUGUGGGUAAAGGUGUACAACCUCUCGAGAGUGUAAAUCUAAGUACUUAGCCGUGUCCCCGGUUAUGGACAACUUGAGCGAACUGACAAGUCUUUGUUCGAAGAUCUCCUCAUCCCAAUUUCUUAAAUAAAAUUUGAAUGGGUGAACAAGGGUAGGAAGGUACAUUGGGGCUUUACCAAUGUUACUGUUAAUUGGUACAUUGGGGAUUUACCAAUGUUACUAUUAAUUAGAUUGAAAGAAAAUAUUUUGAUAAAUGAUAGGGAAAAAUUGGCUUUAUGCAAAAUGAACCUGAGCUCUACCAGCCAGAUGUGCACGUAGGUAUAGGAUGCAUUUUGAGUCCACAAAAGUGUCCUUGCCAAUA